UCUCUGGUAGUAUAUCGGAUAGUACACCCGCCUGUCAUCAUCAUCAUCGCGAGAGAGGACCGCGGGAGAGCGGGGUUCGACUCCCCGCCAGAGAG